rnacentral:rRNA from 1 species
AUGAGUGUAUUUCGUUUUCCGGCUUCAGUCUGUGAUGAUCUAACCCGAAUGAUGAGGCGGUAUUGGUGGGGAGUGGAGAAUGGGAAGAAAAAGAUGGAUUGGCUCAGCUGGAAAAAAAUAAUGUUGCCCAAGGCUAUGGGGGGUAUGGGGUUUAGAUAUAUGAGGGCGUUGAACCAGGCGUUGAUGGCUAAGCAAGCCUGGCGUCUGUUGGACACCCCGAACAGCUUAUGUGCUCGUCUACUCUGGACAAAAUAUUACCCUAAUGGCAACCUACUAGACACGGUCUUUCCGAGUAGCUCGUCGGCAGUUUGGAAAGGAAUUGUUUAUGGAUUGGAUCUUCUGAAGAAAGGAGUUAUUUGGCGCGUUGGAGAUGGUUCUCUAAUUAAAACAUGGUGUGACCCCUGGAUCCCAUGGGGUCAUGAUUACAAGCAUGUCACGCCGAAGAGAAACUAUAGACUCAAUUGGGUUGCCGAUUUUAUUGAUGAACAUGGAGCAUGGAACGUUCAGAGGCUUCGGGAACAUUUUUGGGACUUGGAUGUUCGUGAGAUAAUUAAAAUCCAAACCUCUCCAAGGAAUAGACAGGAUUUUAUUGCUUGGUAUCCGGAGAAGAGCGGACAGUUUACUGUCAGGAGUGCUUACCGUUUGGCAACUGAUGAGCAGAACCAUGUCGUGGCGACAGGUGCGGCGAGUAUUAAUCCAUCCGACCAUCGACCUAUCUGGCAGUGUAUAUGGGGUGCC